UACGAAGGGGGCUAGCGUUGUUCGGAAUUACUGGGCGUAAAGCGCGCGUAGGCGGUGAUCCAUGUCAGAGGUGAAAGCCCGGGGCUCAACUCCGGAAUUGCCUUUGAAACGGGAUCGCUAGAGUCCGAGAGAGGAUGGCGGAAUUCCUAGUGUAGAGGUGAAAUUCGUAGAUAUUAGGAAGAACACCGGUGGCGAAGGCGGCCAUCUGGCGCGGUACUGACGCUCAGGCGCGAAAGCGUGGGGAGCAAACAGG
rnacentral:rRNA from 1 species